rnacentral:tRNA from 1 species
GCUGCUAUGGCUCAGUUGGUAGAGCACAUCCUUGGUAAGGAUGAGGUCAUCGGUUCGACUCCGAUUAGCAGCU